rnacentral:misc_RNA from 1 species
AGCAGCCGCGGUAAUUCCAGCUCCAAUAGCGUAUAUUAAAGUUGUUGCAGUUAAAAGCUCGUAGUUGAAUUUCGGGAUCAAAGGAUCGGUCAUGCCUUGGUAUGUACUGGUUUUAUUGGUUCUCACCUUCUAAAGAACCAUAAUGUCAUUCAUUUGAUGUUAUGGGGAAUUAGGACUGUUACCUUGAAAAAUUAGAGUGUUUAAAGCAGGCUUACGCUUGAAUACAUUAGCAUGGAAUAAUGAAAUAGGACGUUUGAUCCUAUUUUGUUGGUUUCUAGGAUUGACGUAAUGAUUAAUAGGGAUAGUUGGGGGCAUUAGUAUUCAAUUGUCAGAGGUGAAAUUCUUGGAUUUAUUGAAGACUAACUACUGCGAAAGCAUUUGCCAAGGAUGUUUUCAUUAAUCAAGAACGAAAGUUAGGGGAUCGAAGACGAUCAGAUACCGUCGUAGUCUUAACCAUAAACUAUGCCGACUAGGGAUCGGAUGAUGUUAAUUUUUUAAUGACUCAUUCGGCGCCUUACGG